rnacentral:lncRNA from 1 species
GGGCGUGUGCCCCAGUCCCUGGUGGCUCCCAGCCUGGCUAACCCCAUUCUGCCUGCAACAAAGAUCCCUUGAGGAUCCGGUCCUGCCCCGGCCAUGGAGCAGGUAAUUAUCUGCGCCCCAGGAUUGCAGGGUGCUUUCCACACUCCACCCCAGAGGCAGCUGCAUUUCUCUGCUGGAACUGAGGGGAGCCAGCUGUGCUCCACCCCAGAAGCCGCCGCAUCUCUGCAGGAGGCACUCUCGGCGGUUAGGUAGCUUCCUACGUGUCCCAGUCGCCAGGGCUGGGUAAGUCGCUCGAGUGAGUCAGGGCUUCUCUGAGGUUGGUUCUCCGCCCGCCCCGCCCCCCAGUCUCUCACACACACCCUGUGGGGGGGGGGGUGCCGCCCAUGUGCAGGGUUUUGAUGCCAGAGUCCUUCCCACCCCCUUGCACUUUGCCAAUCCCGCAAGGAAAACACCAACUGCAAGCUGCACCCAGAUACCUCGCUCCAGUGGCUUCGCUCUCUCUGGGGCGGUGAAUGUGGCUCAAACUCACGGCCUCGUUUGCAGGGUCUGCGAGUUCCAGGUGGGCAAGCUCUGCUUCCGCUCCCGCAGCCCCUGCAAGGCGCAGGGGCAGCAAGUCUGUGAGACCACCAAGGCCUACAUUGGCAAGGUCCCGCUUUUCUCCAAGUACGGCUGCAGCCGGACCCGCGAGACCUGCAACAUGACGGAGCAGAAGGACACCGUCUUCGAGGUCAGCUACAAUCGGACCUGCUGCGAGACAGACCUGUGCAAUGCUGCUGGCCCCGCCCAGGCAGCCGGGCUUCCCCUGCUCUCUGGGCUGGGAGCCCUGCUGGGGUGGUGGUUGCUGAAAUAACCCCCGGCUCUCCUCUUCCCGGCCCUAGCCUCCACACCCUCUCUGCUACACGCUUUUCCCUCCUGGGUCCUCCUUGCCACACGCUUAAUUAGCAGGCUCCACUCCACCCCCUCAAGUCACCUUUUCCUCUGGUCUUCUUCCACCAAGCCUAUUGCCUUCUCCCUGGUCUUCUCUAUCCCACAUGUAGCUGCCUCCUUUCCUUUCCCAUGUCCUCUGUAGGUCUGCCACAGCCUAGGAAGGGGACCAGGGAAAGCCAGCUACUACAGGCAGGAUAGGGGGGUACCUCAGCCCCCCUGAAUCUGCCACCUGCCUUCUGAAGGGUUUUGAUGCGCGCACACACACACUCUGAGAAUCUAAUCUCAUCUUCUGGCCUGUGUCUCGAAGGGGUGAAGUGAUGACCGACCCUGAGCUAAAGCAGAGACACUGUCUAUUUUAGACACAACACUGGAGGGGGGGGGGGUCGUUCUCCCUAGAAGCUUCUGCAAACCCUAGCUCAGGACAGGUCUGAAUACCUCAUGGGCAGAAGACCAUCCUCGGCUUUUCCACAGAGGCUGGCGGGACAAAACCCUGUGGUCCUAUGGUUGAGUUGGAGGCAGCUGUACCCCUCCCCCCCAAUCUCUCUUGCUCGCCCACAGUUCUCCUGAAGCCAUGUCCCCCAAGCUGAGAAGCAUAGGCAGCUCCUUACCCCCACUGGAGAACAAAGGUCCCAGAUCUUUGUCCCAGACAUUAGACAGUGGGUUGGUUUGGGGUCUUCUGUGGUAUCUCAAGACCUGUGGGAAGCUGAUGGAUAAUUGAGUCCUUUAGGCCUGAGCAGAGGGUGAAAUUGUGGAGCCGAGCAGUUCCACACCACUUGUUCCCAUGGGGAACAGACGCUCUAAAUCUCCAGCGGAGACCAGGUGGCCUUUGCAUAAUCACUUGUGAGCCCUCCCAGGGCAUGCCGGUGAGAUGACACAGCUGGAGAAGGAUAAAGGCUGGCUACAGAGGCAUAAACCCACCGGGU